UACGUAGGGUGCGAGCGUUGUCCGGAAUUAUUGGGCGUAAAGAGCUCGUAGGCGGUUUGUCACGUCUGCUGUGAAAUCCCGAGGCUCAACCUCGGGCCUGCAGUGGGUACGGGCAGACUGGAGUGCGGUAGGGGAGAAUGGAAUUCCUGGUGUAGCGGUGAAAUGCGCAGAUAUCAGGAGGAAUACCGAUGGCGAAGGCAGGUCUCUGGGCUAACACUGACGCUGAGGCGCGACAGCGUGGGGAGCGAACAGG
rnacentral:rRNA from 1 species